rnacentral:misc_RNA from 1 species
GUAGAAAAUGAGCACCACAAGGAAAUGUAUGUGAAAAAUAUUGUAAUUGACGGUUUUGUCCAUGGCAAAGUUGAAAUUACAUGCAACUCUUGGGUUCAUUCCAAAUUUGCUAAUCCUGAUAAAAGGAUUUUCUUCACAAAUAAGUCAUAUUUACCAUCUCAAACCCCAAGUGGAGUAAUUAGGUUAAGAGAGGAAGAACUCGUGACAUUAAGA